CCUACGGGGGGCAGCAGUAGGGAAUCUUCCACAAUGGGCGAAAGCCUGAUGGAGCAACGCCGCGUGGGUGAAGAAGGUCUUCGGAGCGGAAAACCCUGUUGGUAGAGAAGAAAGUGCGUGAGAGUAACUGUUCACGUGUCGACGGUAUCGAACAAGAAAGCCACGGCUAACUACGUGCCAGCAGCCGCGGUAAUACGUAGGUGGCAAGCGUUAUCCGGAUUUAUUGGGCUUAAAGGGAACGCAGGCGGUCUUUUAAGGCUGAUGUGAAAGCCUUCGGCUUAACCGGAGUAGUGCCUUGGAUACUGGGAGCCUUGCUUGCAGCUGCGGCGAGUGGACCUCCAUUUGUAGCUG
rnacentral:rRNA from 1 species